CUAUCAGCUACUAACAGAAGGACUGCAAACCGUCGUACUAUAAAGAAAUACAACAUUAUUGGAGUGCAAUCUCUGGGGCCGAAGAGGACAUUGGGCAACGAGGAUAGCCCCGCAGCCACUGGAAUAUCGUCCAGGAUUCUAAGGAGGGCCACAUCACCACCGAAGGGGGACCGUUGGGCAACGAAGGUCACCGCAAGAAUCCUAGCCCAAAAUCGCAAGGAGGGCUUGCAACACUACCGAGGAGGAUUACUGGGCGUCGGGGAUCGCCGCCGAAGUCGCCAAGGGUUGCCAGGUAUUGCUUUAACAAUUUUAAAUGUCUAAUCGUUUUUUUUAAAAAUGUAUUUAGGGUGGUCCACAUCACCGAAGAAGGCCACCGGAC